rnacentral:lncRNA from 1 species
AUAAAUCGGAAAUCGGGAAACAACAAAUGGACAGAGAGAAUGAUUAUAAUCCAUGUCUCAGUCCAUAUGAUAUCUAGAAUGGACGAAUAUAUGAUCCCUUAUCUAAUGGACAAGUCAUUGACAAAGGUCAGAGUUCAUCGACAAGGUCAGAGUUCAACAACAGCUUUUAAGAGCUACGAUUGCCAGUUAGGUUUGAAGUCAUACGCAAUAAUAGUUUUAGACUUAUCCAAGUGGGAGACUGUUGGAUUAUUGUCUAUGUCCAUAACUAUAAUUGGUAAGACAUUACCCGACUCGGCAUGGUCCAUUUGGGUUGCAUGGCAUUGGGACAUUUGGAUAGACCGUUUGUGAGAAGAGGACAUUUGUGACAUAUUAAUAUAUUAUAAGUUCUAAUGUAUUAAUAUAAAAUUAUGUUUUUUAAUUAGUAUUGAUCAAGAAUAAAUUUGGACAUAAUUUAUUGAUCUAAAGAGACUAAUUAAAUAUAUGGGGAUUGAUUGUGUAAAUCAUUCAUUCUUAUAUAUGUGGGCUUAUGAUCCAAGAUUCCUUAUGUUGGGUUUAACCCAUGUGAUGGUCUAUGGAUACUACAUGGAGGUUAAAACCCAUGGAGCAUAAGGAAUGGGUAAAGUCAUGGGUUACAUGGUGUAACCCUAAUGUGCACACUAUAUAAGGACCCCUUUAGCUUAAGAAAUUGACACAAGUAAUACACAUAUGAGGGCUAGUCAAUUUGAGCUUGGAGUGUCUUCUUCUCAUGGUUAUUCCAAGUGUUCAUGAUGUUGUGUGAACCAUUUGAGGUGUCACACUUGGGGCACUAGGCUCUUAAGCUUCAUGGAGUCAAGCAACAACAACAACAAGGUAUGUAUUCUAUUUAUUUUAUUACCCAAGUAUAUGAUAUUUGUAUGCUACUAUAGGGUAAUAUCUUGGAAACUUCAUAUUUGCAUGUAUAAUAGAGAAAACAUAGAUCCAAGGUAUUUAGGGUUGUAUGUGCACCAUAGGAUGUUGUAGUAUGCUCAAAACCCAACAAGAGCAACGUCGCGAAUAUCAACAAAGGAGAAAACUUUUAGUCUAGUAUAUGAUUAAAAAGCAACCAUAACUCUAGAAUUUAUUAUCCUAACUGCACGAAUAGCAAGUUUCGACCAAGACAACAAUGAAAAGGUGUUAAGAUCCAACCUAAAACUACCUAUGGAGAGGAGGGAAAUAGCUGAAAUAUAGAAAAAAAAAUUAUAAUAAACAUAUGAAAAAUCAUUAUAACCAGCGUGUCAAAUAUAGAUCUUUUAAGGUGGGUGAACAAGUGCUAAGGAACAAUGAGGCAAACCGACAGGCACCAUAAGGGAAACUACCAGCAGUUUGGGAAGGCCCAUAUAAGAUAUAUGAAGCAAAUAUGGAUGGAUUGUACAUCCUACAAAUGAUUAAGGAGAAAUUGUGCCAACAUCGUGGCAUGUAAAGAAUCUAAGAAAGUUCCAUGUAUGACAAAGAAAAUGCCAUUGAGAAAACGAAUUUUCACAAAAAACAUAUCAUACAACCUAUGUGGGGCACACGCAAACCCAAUAAGGCAUUACUCAUAGUUUUGACUCAAGUCAUACCAUCACAUAUCCAAAGUAAUACAAUCUACACGGGGCACACGACAACCCAGUAAGGCAUCAAGCAUGGUUUUAAAUCAAGUCAUACCAUCACAUAUCCAAAGAAAUACAACCUAUGUAGGGCACAUGUCAACCCGAUAAGGCAUCAAGCAUGGUUUUGAAUCAAGUUAUACCAUCACAUAUCCAAAGCAAUAUAACCUAUACAUGGCAUAUGAUAACCCGGUAAGGCAUCAAGCACGGUUUUUAAUCAAGUCAUAUCAUCAUAUAUCCAAAGCAAUACAACCAACAUGGGGAACACGACAACUUGGUAAGGCAUCAAGCAUAGUUUUGACUCAAGUCAUACCAUCACAUAUCCAAAGAAAAAUAACCUACACAAGGUACACGGCAACUCGAUAAGGCAUCAAUCAUGGUUUUGACUCAAGUCAUACCAUCGCAUAUCCAAAGAAAUACAACCUACUCGAGGCACAUGACAACCCGGUAAGGCACCAAGCAUGACUUUGACUCAAUUCAUACCAUUACUUAUCCAAAACAUUACAACCUACAUGGGGCAAACGACAGUUUGGUAAGGUAUCAGGCACGAAUUCGAUUCAGGUCAUAUCGUCACGUAAUCGCAAAAACAUACCAUAUAAAAUGAUGACAGUCACACAGAAAAUGCAAUCAAACAAAAACGGUCAUGAUACAAAACAACUCUAACCAAGUCAUAACAUGAUGUCGACACAAGACCAUGUGAAGGGAGACGUGAUUUCGGAAAAGUGAACAAGCAUAGGGCGAAAGCAAGAAAAAGGUGGGUUAGAUAACAAUAGCACCAAAAAGGGAUCAUUUAAACCACUAAGUAUAUAUGAUACAGAAAGACAAAUAAAAGAAAAAGCAACUCAUUACACUUGUAAGCAAUCGCAUUAUCAAUGCUUUAAACAAAGUAACAAAGGGAAAGCAUAACCGAUCUAGACAAUAAGAAUCAUAUGGACUUAGCAGUAAGCGAAGCCUGUAGAGCCUAGUUCUCCUGAAGGCAUGCCUAAUAAUCAGCCUCUAAAAGCGAACGUUGAUUCUCCAACAUGAAUAUUCUUUCAUAAGCAACAUGAAAACGAUCUAUCAACUCACCAUGCAACUUUCCAGCUUUGAACAACAACUCCUCACUAGCUAAAUUCAUACCCUCAACACUUCUCAAGUUAACUUCAGCCUAAAGAUAUCGAUCGCGCAAUAUCAAUAACCUGUCGAACAUUUUAGAUUUCUUAAAAAUGACAACAUAAAUAAUAUUGUAUGCACGAGCAAUAGAGUGACGAGCUUCAUCCAAUACUUCAUGAAAAAGAACACAUAAAGAGAAAGUCCCUACAGGAUAAAAUAGAACAUAAAUAACCACCAGAGGAAAAAGAUCAAUAAUAUUAUACAUACUUCUUACCAUAAACUACAGUACGAGGAGGAUGGCCCGGUGAAGCAAGGGGCGAAUAUGAAGACAACAUUGUUACAUCACAAAGGAAGUACUCAAAUUGGUGUAGUGUCAAUGAACACUUACACUUACGUGAUGUAUUCUAAACAAAGGGCAGAACAAAACCAAAACCAAAAGAUGAAGGAGCAAGUAAUGGGGUGUCAAUAGAGGAAACAUGUGAAGUACCCUUAAAGCCGAUCAAUAGAAAACACAUCUGAUCCAAACCCGGUAAGUCGCAAGAGCGACCCGGGUAAAUGACCCACCACAUCCAUUUCUCGACUAGAUAGCACGUUUGCUAACAUGAUAUCCUAAAGGGAUAUCUCACCGACUAUAUAUGCAGACAAAUUAAAACUAAAUUUAGUUUCCCUUACACACAUUAAAUGCAAGAGAAACAAGAAAAAACAUGUAUAUCUGGUGAAAUCAGGAAGAAAGAAAAGAAAAUUUACCAAAUUAAGAAAUAAAACUGCUAACCUAGUCGAUUAAUGGAUAACACAGGUAGCUGAUUUCAUGCUUUCCAAAUAGGGCUCAUAUGACACAAGGCCGACACAACUUCAGGAAAAAAGAUGUAUUUAUACAAUGAAGGGAAAACAACGAAAUUUAUCAGCACAAGUCGGUGGUCAACAUCACUUUGUCUCCUAAAUUAGGAGGGAGGCUAAGAACAUUUGGAAGACAAACGUCGUUGGAAUCCGUCCAACAAAAUUUUCUCUUCCACCAACUAUAAGUACUAGGAAUAUCAGGAGGAAGCGGGGAGUGCCGAAAACUAAAGGAAUACCAAACUCCAUAUUUCUUCAAAUGAUAAAAUAACGAAACAACGACGCAUUCAACGGAAUACAAGAAGAUACACAUAGAUUUUCAAAAGUAAUAAGUUUUGAAUUGGCAUUAGGUCAAAACUGAAGCGGGUGGAUCCCGUAAAACAUAAUAUUUCUAGGAAGAAGGACAUAAGAGGAAGCCUUAAACCACAUAUGAGAUGGCUAAGGUAAAACCCCACCUAACCAGUUGACGCAUCAAACACGUACGACGAUGAAAAAGGAAGGACAACACCAUGUAUCGAGGUAAGUUGGUAUCCAUACAUGUAUCGAUCCAAUGUGUAGCUGUCAACCUCACAUACAAUGGACGACCUGUCAGGAAUUAUAAUAUUCUAAAAAUGAAGUUUUACCCACUAUAUCAAAGAAGAGAACGGUUAAAGCAUUAAUUAGGCAAUCUAAUAUAAUAAUUUGACGUGACUAACUGGCGUUGGAUGCAUUUAUUGAAGCUAGCAACUCUGACAUUCAGGAUGUAUUGCCUAUCAAGAAAGACUUCAAAUUCUGAAUGGUAAAAAUACUUUAGCAUUGCUAUUUUUACCCAUCAGAAUGAGGGGCUUAAUGGUGUAUCCAUUUCGAAGGAUCAUGUCAAUGCCUACCCGAUCAUAUUAGGCCCACUUAAAAGCAACCAACUGUCCAGCCAUUAUAUUAUUACCUAACCAUGUGUAAUAAAAUCGACACAUAAAAAAUAAGACACAUAUGUUCAAACCAACCAACCUAUGAGCCAAUAUGUAACAUCCUGUUUCUCGUCAAUUCUUAUUUUAGGGUCGUGGGCUGGAUGUCGAUUGUGUAAAUGCUUUGGGCCUUAAGGAGGUAACUAAUAGACCUUGUGGAAGGAGGUAAUGAUGGUUGAGAAAUCUAACCCCUGAAUUGUGUUUUGGGCCGAAGGGUAAAAAGGGAAAAGUCAUAGGUCGGGUUCUUGCAUGAAAUAUGUAUUUUUGUUCGAUAAGUUUUUAGCCCAUGAUAUUUGGAUAAUAUUGUAGAGCUCUUCUACACUUUUCCAUGGAUAUAAAGAAUGUUGAAAAUGGAGAUGGAACGAAGAAAUUACGAUUGUUUGAAGUUAUGGCAAUUUUUGGUGUAUGAUGGACGUACGGGGAGUACGUUGUGUGUACUAGGGCAUCUCUAGUAUGUUGGGCGUACCAAGAGUACGCUAGGCAUACGCGAUUAGUUCCCAAACCCUAUUCGUGUGGUUUGAGCCCCUAUUUAAGCUCUUUAACUUCCCCAAACCUACUCCAUUCAUAGCCUCCACCUCUCCAACACCCUCUCUUGAAACCCUAACCCUAUUUAGAUCCUUGUGAGCAAAAUGAAGGUGUUUUAAGUGAUUUGGAGUUUUCUUGGUGCACCUUAGAGAAGUAGGAACUCAUUAAAGAAGUGAUGGUUGCAUUGAAGCUUGUAAAUCCAGACCGUGUUCACCUUGAUCUUUCUUUUGGAGGUAUAAAGCUAGAAUCUUGUUGAUUCAUUUCUUAGAUCUAGUUAGUUUUGGAUGUUAUGAACUUUGGUCACUUAAGUGCAUAAAGUUUAGUUUUUGAAAGCUUGUGGCCUUGUUAUGUAUAAAGUUGGAAACUUUAUCCAUCUAAACGUCAUAUUGAUUCAGAUAUGAAGGUUGGAGACUUGGAUUUAACGAAUUAAGUUGAAAAAGAUGCACUUUUGGUCCCUUUGAGACUUGAAGACUUGAUCUUGUUUGUUGGGACCAUUCUAAUGGAUUAUGUUGGAAAUUUUAUCCAUUUUGAAGCUAUUAGGAACCAUAAAAAUAUGAUCUUGGUCCUUCUAUCCCUUCCAUGCAAGAGUUGUAAUGUCUUAAUGGAUUAAUAAGUUAGGGUUUAGCUUAAUUCAUAAAGGUGGAAACUUUAUGACUUAAGACAAUGUUUUGAGGUUAGAUCUAAGAUUGAGUGAAAAGUCCUUAAGGGAUUAAGUGCUUAAUGAAAGAGUGGGAUUAGGUUGCAUACGUUGCGCGUACAUUGAGUAUGUUGUGUGUACUCCACUGCCUUGGAAUUUGACUUUUGUUGACUUCUGUUGACCGUUGACUUAUGAAAAAGUUUGACUUUAGGACAAACUUGAGGGUUUUAGCCUGUUAAUUAAGAUUUUACUUGGUGUUGUUUAUUAGCGGAUUUGUGGGAGAACACAGUGCCAAAAGGGAAGCACAUCUCAGCUUUUCAGGUUUCUUCAUUUCAGGUGAUUUUCGCCUCACUAUACACAUGGGUCGAAGGCACCAAUGCCAACCCACUAGUUUUGGUUAUCUGUUAGUAGAGGGAUACCUAGGGAAUGUAUGUGAUCAUGUAGGAUAGACUGAGGACUCUUGAUCUAGGCUCUUUUACAUGUUCCUUGUUUGGUGGUGGUUCCAGAGUAGGAUCACCUGUCUGGGUGUCUAUCUCACAUUUGAGUAUAUACAGUUAUGCAUUCCUUGGAUUGUUGGUAUUUAGUAUGUUGCUAUGUUGUAGUGACCUGUUAGAUCUAUAUCCAGGUAGUUGGUAUGUUGAUAUGUUGUACCGAUCUAUUAGAUCUAUAUCUUGGUAUUUAGGAUGUUGCUAUAUGGUAAUCAUAUGUAGAUCUAUAUGUUUAUCUGUAUUUGUUGGUUAUCAUCUAGUGGAGUAUCCUAGGGACUGUAUGUGGUUAUGUAGGAUAGCCUGAGAACUCUUGAUCUACGCUUUCGUGAUUGUUCAUUGUUUGAUUGUGGCUCUAGAGUAGGAUCAUUUUUUUGGGUGUCUAUCUCACCUCUGGUUACUUAUGGUUACACAUUUGAUGGAGGAUAGCUAGUAGCAUGACAGUGUGGUGUGAGGACUAGUAGGCGGUAGUAAGCUAUAUGAUUCUUGUUUGCCUGUAUUAUGUGCCUAUUUGAUCUUGAUUGUUUAUAUGUAGAAAUAUGGUAUUAGUAGGUUGAUCCGGUUCUUUUUUGUGCUAUAGGCCAAGAUAUCCAAUGUGGGUUGGCUGUAAGACUUAGGCACGGAGGCUCUGGAAGAGUGGUUGGGUUGAGGCGGUAGGCCAACAAACCCUGGGUAUUCCAGCUCGACGGCUGAGUGGACCCGACGUAUGUUUAUAUGUUUAUCGUAUGGAGUAUUUUGGGGGAAACUCACUAAGCUUUGUGAUUUAGUAGUUGUUUAUUGGUUUAGGUAUCAUCGUUAAUCAUGGGAAGGCGAAGGCGUGACUGUACACAUUCAUCGGCAACAAUGAAGAUUUCUCGCUUUAAUAUUACUCUAAUUUUUAUAAAUAUAUUUCGAAUAAAUGGUUUUCUCCAUAAUGCGGUAAUAAUUGGGAAUAUUUACUUAAAUAAAAUGGAAAUUUUUGGUUGUGAAAAUGGGACGUUACAAAUUGGUAUCAGAGCCUUAGUUUGAGCGAAUUAGUCUAACACUUGUCUCAAUCCAGUCUCAAACUAGCAUCCAAGAGUUUUUUGAUAAAUAAUUUAUUAUAAAAGGUUUGGAUUAAGGAUAUGGGUUCGGUCUCUUUUCAUGUUCUUGUUUGAUUGUUGGCUUGGGAUCAGGAACAUGGACCUUGAUCUAACUUUGGUUUUACAAGAAGAUAUUGUGUGUAUAGUCAGCAAGAGCUUGAACAUGAGAGUGGUUCCCAAAAUAACAAUACUUGUUAUAUGUUAUAAGUUCUUGAUUUUUUUGAUAUGAUGAUUAUGAUAGAACGACAUGCUAGUGAUAGGAUAGGGAUCUUCAGGAAUUACAUGAUAGAAUAGCCUGGUAUAUGAUGCCUAAUAGCCUAGGAGUGCCUCUUAUAUGAAAUUGACAUCAUUAUUGUAGUUUUUUAGUGUAUGCAUCAUAGUCAUACAUAACUAAGAUUUUAUAGCCUAAGAAUGUUUGAUUUUUUUUUCCUAUUUCAUGUUCCUUGUUUGUUUGUGGCCUUAGGGCAGAAUCAAGUAUUCAACUAUCUAUAGGAUCUAAUGUUAUGUAUGAUUACCAUACACGAGUGUUGUAGGGUUGGUGGAAGUUUUAUGGGUGAGUAUAUGUGUGAGUAGUCAUCCAGAUGUGGAGUGUUUAGCUACUCACAAGAGAGUGAGGAUAGGAUGUAGGUGUAUCCUAGUUGUGGUAUUUUUGUUGGGCGGUUAUGAUGAUCCUUGAGACAAAUACGGGUAGGUUUGGAAGGUAGUAUGGGCCUGUACUACUAAAAUCAUAGGACCCAUACGCAUAUCAAGGAAGUCACAAACCCCAAGGAAUCAAGUUUAGUCUCAUAAUUGUAGCAAUGUGUAACGUGGCACUCUGAUAUAUUCUGGUUUAUUUUCAGUAUGGUGUUUACAAGAGGAUCUGGUUCCGAUUCUAAAGCGAGUGGACAUCAUGGCCUAGGGUUUACUGAUGAUCAGAUUCAGGAGAUCAUCGCAACUGAUGUGGUUGCUGCUGUUCGGAGGUCUAUAUUGGAUAUUUUUAGGUCUAUCAAGACCGCCAUGAUUGAGCUUUUUGAUGAUCAGCAUGCCGCUCUUUCAGAUGAUGUUGUUGUUGCAGCCACCGCAGCGGUUUCUGUAUCAGGGAUUCAAAGGGAAAGAUCUUUUGAGUACCGAAACAUUAAUAGUACGAAGCCCUGCGGUUUGAUGGGGUCGGAGACCUGAUUGUAGCGAUGAGAUGGUUGUAUGUUGGGUAGGGUUGUUUCUUCACAUGCUCUUUCCCUGCUGAACAGAAGGUCAAGUGCACCAUGAACCUUCUCAGGUUGGGGGCGAAGGAUUGGUGGAGAUUGGUGACUAGUGCUUACACUUAUGAGCAGAGAGCUACUGUUACCUGGGAGUAGUUCUCAGUGAUGUUCCAUGCAAGGUAUGUUCCCUUUAUAGAGAGGGAAAGGUUGACUUAGGAGUAUUUGGAUUUGAGGCAGACUACUAAGACAGUGAUAGAGAUCUCCAAGAUGUUUACGGAGCGGCCUCUCUUUUGUCCUAAGUUUGCUACCUCUGAGAAGGCUCUGAUGACUCGUUACUUGAGUAUGCCCAAGAAGGAUAUUUGGUAGUUUGUGUAUACCCAACGAUAUAGUACCCUCGUUAAGCUUGAACAUGCCAUGAGGAGGCGAGAAUUGAGAUAGCGACCUAGGAAACAGAGCACUCUCAGGCUCCGACUUAGUCCUGACCUACAACAAAGCGGUUCAUGUCCGCCGGCCGGAGUUCGGGAUCAGCUAAAGGGAGGUGCAGAUUUUUUGUACGUCACAUGUAUGGCGAGGAGGGACAUUUUGGUAGAGAUUGUAGGCGAAGUGCGCAAGUUUUUUUUCCAUUGCAUUCAAUAAGGCCACAUCAGAGCUCGUUGUCCUUUUCUCGUUUUUGGUGAGGUGUUGGAUCCCUCAACCCUAACUUGGCAAUUGCCCGAUGGUCGUCUUGGGACGGUCGGAGUCUCGGGGACCGAGAUUUAAGUUAGCAGUUCUUCUAUUUAACAAUUAAUACGGUACUGGUAUUUAUCUGUAAUUCCUAUUUAUGUUUAGAAGUUCGGUUGUAACCUUGGAUGAUCAAUUGAAUGAAAAUGACUUUUUUGCUAUGUCUUAAAGGAAUUAUUAUUAUCAGUGGAUUAAUUAUCUUGUGAAUGUUGUGAGGGUUUAGAUUUUCCUAUGUAUGUGGAUAUCAAUGGUUGGGAUCAAGUAGUAGGGGACCAAAGGACUGCAAAGUUGUCAAAUUGCAGUAUAAUUCAAGUGGGGAGAGUGGAACCUCGUAGCAGGAAGAGCUUGUGCCAAGGUUCGGUUCUUAGUCAAAUUUCUCCAAUUUCAAGACUUCCGUGCAGUUGCUGAAUCUUUCAGUUUCACUUCAAGAUCAUCACCAGCUGUUCGAUUUCCCUUUAAUUCAUAUUAGUUUUACUUGUGGCAUCAUAUGUAGGGCAUGCUUGUGUGUUAGACUCUAGGGUGUUAGGAGCCUAGGUUAAGGGAUGUGAUGAGGGAUUCCCUGUCUGUUCUUGUUUGAUUGGGGCUUGGAGGUCUGAGUGUAAGUCCCUAAUCUGCUUGUGUAUCAAUCAGAUCUGUUUGAUGGUGCGGAAUCCCAAUCAAACGGAUGAUGCCAAAUCAAAAUAGAAGAGAAGAAGAGAAGAAUAACUUGAAUCUUCAAUGUAUUGAAUAGAUUGGAAUGAUGCUCCUUUACAUGAGAUCCGCACACACACACACAUAAGCUCCUUUCUCUCUACUAUUAUGUACCUUCCUCACACCCCUCACCCUAUAUAUAUACAUGAGAAACAUGGUCCGUAAAUGGGUUUACGGUCGUAAACAUGUUUACGGCCGUAAACGUGUUUACGACCGUAAAUGGGUUUAUGACUGUAAACUUGUUUACGGCCGUAAACACCUCCCUGGCCGUAAACCUGACCAUAAACUCAUAAAACAUUACAUAAAAUACAAUUGCCUAGAAAAGCAAAGUAUAAACCAUAAUCUUGACGCAACAAUAUCCCCCUUGAUUUAUAGAUUUCUUUUCUAAUUGACCCAACAAGCUCCCCCUAAAAAGUAGCUGGCUUUUCUUGUCAAUCUUCAUCAAGAGCUUGGCUUCAGGAUUAAUCUUCAAAUGAACUUGAUGAAUCUUCAAUGAAUGAAAUCAUCUUGAGCAAUUGGGAUUUUCCUCAAAAUUUGACAUUGAACGCACAUUGGGUGAGGAGGCUUCUUGAAAAGAUUCUGAAAGAUAGCGAUUUCAGUUUGAGAAUCUUUAGAGAGAAUAUUAGAGAGAACAAAUCUUCUGGAUCACUUCAGCAGGUUCAUAGAUAGCAACAGACUGAUUGAGGAGGCUUCAAUGCAAUCUGUUACAUAAUCUUCAAUUACAGCUUCACCUAGCUUCUAGGGUAGAAGGAUUGAAUGUUGAAAGAAUAAUCUUCAUUUCUUGCUCCUUGGAAUGAGAAUUCUUCGAUGAUCACGGAUGAAGCUUCGGCUCAGAAAAUCUCGAUACAGUCUCCAUGAGUCUCAUCUACACCAGAAUUCGCUUUUCAAGACAAAACAAAACUAAAAAGAAAACUUAGCACACAAUAUUUUUGGAUUUUUCAUAUUUUCUAGGAAAAUUAAAAAAUAAAACAGAAAAAAAAAAUAUUUUUGGAUUUUCUGAUUUUUCUUAACAAUAAAUAAAACAGAAAUAACACUAUUUUUGGAUUUUUAAUUUUUCUAAUUUUUGUUUGAUUUUUUAUUUUAAUUUUUUUUAUUUUUGUUUGGUUUUAAAAUUUUAAUUCUCCUCCAAAUUUGUGCAUAGAGGAAAACUAUGAACAAAUUUAACAAAAACAAAAAUAUUUAGGAUUAAAGUUGUGAGACAGUCUUAACUUGUUUAUCAUUACCUUCACCUUCAUGAAUAGAUCUGGUCAGUUGCCGGUAUUAUAGUCCAUUUAAACACGAAGGAUAUUGACAAAAUUUGCUAAAUAAACCAUUUAGCUGACGACGACCACGGGUAUUGUUGUCCACUUAAAUUAAGCUGCGAGAUCUACAGACAACCUCCAAAUGGUUCAAUUUUAGUUGCACUAGAACAUGUUCCCCACUUCCCAAUAUACCCUGGCUAUCAAAAACUUCCAAAGGACUCCUUAAUUUAGGUGAGUAAACAAUUAUGAAGGAGGAAGUUAGAUUAAGAAAUAGGUUCAUAUGUUGUGUCCCAGGUCGAAUAUAUUUCAAUCACGCAGAGGGGAUAACAUAUGGCUAACUAGGAUAGAGGGAUUGAGAGGUAGAAUGUUGCAUAUGUUGUGUCCCAGGUCGGAUCUUCUGAUCGCGUAGAGGGGACAACAUAUGGCUAACAGAUAGAAAUAGUUUCAUAGAUAAGAAGGUGUGUAGAAAUAGAGUUGCAUAUGUUGCAUUCCAGGUCGGAUCUUCCAAUCACGCAAAGGAAGCAACAUAUGACUGACAGAUAGAAAGAAAGAAAAUAAUUUCCUACAUACCUACUUUAUCAGAACCCCCUAGUCGCCCUAUCAGAACCAGAAUUAAGGACAUAAGUCCGUACAUCAAGGAAAAUUCAAACCAAUGUUCUAGAUGCGUAUUAAUUUAGUGUAUCCUGUAGGUUCCCAUGUUUAUCUCACUGCUCAAUCUACCCAAGCAUCGUAUGGUCAGUCCAAACAAUCCUAUCUAAAUUCACACUUUCAACUCCUUCAUGCCUACCAGCAUAUUGAUCAUAGAGUCUAGACAAUUCAGAUUUAGUCCUUUACACAUGUUUUAGAAUUCCCGUUAUCACUUUCUUGAUAUCACUUCCCAAUAAUAACUACUAACGAAAAACUAUUAAGAAAAUGAAAAAUUGUCUUUAAAACGAAUCAGAGUAAGAUAAACUCAAGAGUAUAGAGAAGAAAACGCAAACCAUAAUUCACCGAUUGAAUUUGCAUCCAGAAGGUCUGAGAACAACACGCAUAAUCUCAGAACAUAUCCGAAAAUUCUUCAUGUCAUUAAGCACUAACCCCAUUUGUGAUCUCUUCCUUUCAUCCUUUCUCGCAAAAGGACACAUACUCUCAAACAAAGGUCUGAAUGUUGUACAGUUGAGAGAUGUACCCUAUCAUGUGAUUGGAAUAGCCACUAUCAACAAACCGAAGUCUGAUGAUAUGCCUCCAUAGUUGCUCUAACACAGAGUGGGAUCCGUUGGUCUUUGGAACCCAGUUCAUUUUGAAACCGAGUCGACCUUUGUCAUCAUUGUAGGGUACUCUCUCCCAUGACAUAUCCUAUUUAUUACAAACAGAAGAUGUAGAAAUAUUAGAACCGUUAGAAGAUUUGGGAGAAUGAGCCUUCAGAACCCAUUUGUAGUUGGGUUUAACUCAUUUCUUUUUCUAUUUGAUGGGUGGCUCAGCACUUGAUUUUGAACUUGAAGUCGACCAUUAAGAUGACUUUGAUUUUUGCUUCACGAGAGCAUUUCUUGGACUGGACUUCUUGGCUAGCAUACCCUUCUUGACCUUGGGAUUUGAUUUCUUGGUAUUGGGAGUUGAAUUCUUGGCCUUUUGGGUCUUCCAGUCUCCAUUUCGCGAUUGUGACCUCGAAUGAUUUCUUUUGCAGAAUCUCCCACCCUAUGCGUUCUGCCAGCCUUGUGCGUAGUAAGGAACGGAUGCGCCAUUUGGACAGUUUCGGGCAAUGUGUCUAGGUGUUCCACAGUGAAAGCAUGUCUUUUUCUUCACUAGGAAGUUGUUCCUUCCUACCCCUGGUGGCGUAUCCUUGCCUUGUCUCUUAUUGUUCCCACAAGCACAAUUACAACAGGCACUCUGUUACACUGGAAUUGGUGGCCUGUAUUUCUCAACAGCAGAUUGAUCAAAAGCAGCUGAGUUCGAAGCAAAAGAUUCACGGCUCAAGGAGAUGUUGGUUUGUUUAAUGGUUUUCUCCUUGUUCUCAUCCUCUGCUACUUUACCUCCUGACACAAAUCCAACUGGUUUGCCAUAUUGAAGAUGUGCCUCCCUGUCAAUUUCUUCCUGUGUCAUAGGGAUGGAUGUGUAGUUAUGAUUGAAAGGUAGAGGAACACUAUCAUACCCUAGACCUUUUUUAUGGUUAUUUUUAAAUUGCAGACAAUGGUCUAUCAUUUUUGCAACUACUUCGCUUGACACAUCAAUUUUUUUACAAUCAAAAUCUGUAGUUUCAAAUUUGCUUUUUAAUGUGUCAAGUUCAACACCUAAUUCAGCAAGUUGUCUCUUAACAUAGUCAUAAUUUUAACAUUUGUUGCUACAGUCUUCCUGAAGCCUCAUAAAGUCUUUGAUUUUUGCUUCUAAUUCAGCCUUUAAGGAUUUAUGUCCUUUCCUGAGUUAAUAUCCAUCGUAUUUUAGGUCCUCGGCUUCCCUUUUUAGCAAAUCAUUAUGUUCACAAAGAAGUUUAAUCGUAGCUUCACAUGAUUGAGAGCAUGAAACUUCAUUGACCGGGAUGUUUGCGGAACUCAUUGUUUUUCCACACUUAAAAGCGUCAAGUUCUUCAGUUACAGAAGCAAGACUAAGACGAUUGAGAUCUUUUGUCUUCUUGAUGAUAGCCACGUUCAUAUCCCACGAUUUUGAAAGUGAAUUCAUCUCAGAUUUAGUUAAGAAGAUCCCAACUAUAUUCAUCUCAGUAGUAAGUGUAGUAAAUCGCUGCAACUGAGCUUCCAAGGUUUCUUCAAGGAUAUAGUUGAACAUGUUAAAUUUUUGUCUUAACAUAUCUUGACUCUCUUUCAUGUCUUCAUUUCCCUCGUAGACCUCAAAAGCCAUUAAAAUCACAACUAGAAGCCAAAAUCAAACUUAAAAGUCAAACCCUUAGACUAAAAACCUCAAAAGUCAACCUUAAAAGUCAAAUUUAAAAAGUCAAACUCAAAAGUCAAACUUAAAAGUCAAACCGAAAAGCUAAAUUUGAAAAUUUAAAAGUUAAAUGAGAAACUCAAAGUUUAAAGUCAAAGGUCAAAUUUUAAAAGUAAAAGUCAAAAUUUUAAGUAAAAAGUCAAAAAUUAAAAACUAUAAUUUUUGGGUGAAAAUGUAAUUUAAAAAUAAAAGAAAUUGAAUUUUUAGGGUUAAAAGUAUCAAAAAUCGAAAAAGGAACCGAGAAAGCGAGACUUUAAGAAUAAAAAAUGGGAAUUAUGGAACAACACUGAUGCUAGAGGAGUUGGUAAGGCGUUGAGUUGAUUUCCCAAAGGUCCCGGGUUCGAUCCUUGGCAACUCCAAAAUCGAAUCCUAUUUUUGCUGAUGUUGUGUGCAAGGAUACUGCUUGCAAAGACUGCCCCUGAUCGAGACCAAAGCGAAGACUGAGAACGAGUUGCGAAGCCGAGAACGAAGCCGACCGGAAACUCCGAGUAGAACACGUGCGAGGCUGGCCGCAAACCGAGCCAUACACAUGCGACAUUGGCCGCAAACCGAGGACCGCAAGCUCCGGGCCGUAAACUCUUCGCAGAUUACAUGAAAAACAACGUUUUUCACCCCUUUUUGCUCCAAAACUCGAUUAAAAACUCGUUUUUAUCAAAAACACGAAGAACAAACCCCCUAAUUUUUAAAGAUCUAUCCAAAAACGCAAGAAUCUUUCCAAAAUAAGAUCAAAUAUUCUAUAGAUCUGACAAAAUUGAUUGAUAGAAUCUAAGCUCUGAUACCACUUGUAAGUCCCUGAUCUGCUUGUGUAUCAAUCAGAUCCGUUUGACGAUGUGGAAUCCCAAUCAAACGGAUGAUGCCAUAUCAAAAUAAAAGAGAAGAAGAGAAGAAUAACUUGAAUCUUCAAUGUAUUGAAUAGAUUUGAACGAUGCUCCUUUACAUGAGAUUCGCACACACACACACACACAUAAGCUCCUUUCUCUCUCUACUAUUCUGUACCUUCCUCACACCCCUCACCAUAUAUAUAUAUACAUGAGAAACAUGGGCCAUAAAUGGGUUUACGGCCGUAAACACCUCCCUGGCCGUAAACCUGACCGUAAACUCAUAAAACAUUAAAGAAGGUGAAGGAGUAAAAUAUUGACCUUGUUGAAGGAGGUAAUGAUGAUUGAGAGAUCUAACCCUUAAAUUGUCUUUUGGGCCACAUGGUAAAAAGGGGAAAGUCAUAGGUCGGGUUCCUACAUGAAAUAUGGAUUUUUGUUCGAGGCGUUCUUAGCCCAAGAUAUUUAGAUAAUAUUGUAGAUCUCAUUAACACCUUUCCGUGGAUAUAAAGAAUGUUGAAAACGGAUUUGGAACGAAGAAGUUACGGCCGUUUGAAGUUAUGGCGAUUUUUGGGCUAGCCAGGUACAGUGGGCGUACUAGGGCAUCCCAAGUAUGUUGGGCAUACCAGGAGUACGCUGGGCAUACGUAAUUAGUUUCCGAAUCCUAUUUUCAUAGUUUGAACCCUAUUUAAGCUCCUUAACUUCCACAAACCCACUCCAUUCUCAGCCUCCACCUCUCUAACACCCUCUCUUGAAACCCUAACCCUAGUUUGGGCCUUGUGAGCAAAAAGAAGGUGUUUGUAAGUGCUUUGGAGUGUUCUUGGUGCACCAUGGAAAAGAAGAAGCUCAUUCAAGAAGCAUUGGUUGCAUUUAAGCUUGUAGAUCCAGGCCUUGUUCACCUUCAUUUUUCUAUUGGAGGUAUAAAGCUUGAAUCUUGAUGAUGCAUUUCUUAAAUCUAGCUAGUUUUGGAUGUUAUGAACUUUUGGUCACUUUAGGGCAUAAAGUUUAGAUCUUGAAAUUUUGUGACCUUGUUAUGGAUAAAGUCGGAAAGUUUAUCCAUCUAAACGUCAUAUUGAUUCAUAUUUCACGGUUUGAGACUUGGACUUAAUGGAUUAAGUUGAAGAAGAUGCACUUUUGGACCUUUUGAAACUUCAAGACUAGAUCUUGUUUGUUGGGACCAUUCUAAUAGAUUAAGUUAGAAACCUUAUCCAUUAUGAAGCUCUUAGGGACCAUAAAAAUGUGAUCUUGGUCCUUCUAUCCCUUCCAUGCAAGAGUUGUAGUGCCUUAAUGCAUUAAUAAGUUAGGGUUGUGGCUUUUGGACCUUCCCUAGCCAUUGAAAUUCAUAAAGGUGGAAACUUUAUGACUUAAGACAAUGUUUUGAGGCUAGAUUUGAGUUUGGGUGAAAAGUCCUUAAGGGAUUAAGAGCUUAAUGUAGGAGUACGAUCAGGCAUCAUACGUUGGGCGCACAUUAGGCGUACGUUGAGUAUGUUGGGUGUACUCAACUGCCUUGGACUUUGACUUUUGUUGACUUUCAUUGACCAUUGACUUUUGACCAAGUUUGACUUUAGGUCAAACUUGAGGUUUUUGGAUUGUUAAUUAAGGUUUUACUUGGUUUUGGUGAUUAGCAGAUUCGCGGGAGCACGCAGUGCAGAAAGGGAAAUUCAUCUCAGUUUUUCAGGUUUCUUCAUUUCAGGUGAGUUUCGCCUCACUAUACACGUGGUUCGAAGCCACUAAUGCUGACCCACUAGUUUUGGUUAUAUGUUUGUAGAGGGAUGCCUAUGGACUAUAUGUAGUCAUGUAGGAUAGACUGAGGACUCUUGAUCUAGGCUCUUUUAACUGUUCUCUGUUUGGUUGUGGUUCCAUAGUAGGAUCACCUGUCCAAGAGUAUAUCUCACCUCUGAUUAUAUAUGGCUAUUCUUUACUUGGAUUGUUGGUAUUUAGUAUGUUGCUAUAUCGUAGUGACCUAUUAGAUCUGUAUCCUGGUAGUUGGUAUGUUUAUAUAUUGUAUAGAUCUGUUAGAUCUGUAUCCUGGUAUUUAGGAUGUUGUUAUACAGUAGUGAUAUAUAGAUCUGUAUGUUUACCUAUACUUGCUGGUUAUCAUAUAGUGGAGUGCCCUAGGGACUAUAUGUGGUUAUGUAGGAUAGCCUAAGAACUCUUGAUCUAGACUUUCUUGCAUGUUCCUUCUUUGGUUGUGGCUCUAGAGUAGGUCAUCUGUUCGGGUGGCUAUCAAUCGCCUGGUUACUUAUGGUUACACAUUUCAUGGCGGAUAGCCGGUAUCGGAUAUCGUACGGUGUGAGGACUAGUAGGUGGUAGUGAGUUGUAUGAUUUUUGUUUUCCUGUAUUAUGUGUCUACUUGAUCCUGAUUUUUUAUAUGUCGAAAUAUGGUAUAAGUGGGUUGAGGCGGUCCUGCUUUGUGUUGUUGGCCAAGAUACCCGGUGCGGGUCGGCUGUAAGCCAUAGGCACAGAGGCUCUAGAAGAGUGGUUGGGUUGAGGCGGUAGGACAACAAACCCUGGGUAUUCUAACCCGAUGGCUGAGUGGAACCGAUGCAUGUUUGUAUGUUUAUCGUAUGGGGUAUUUUGGGGGAAUCUCACUAAGAUUUGUGCUUACCCAGUUUUUUGUUAUUUCAAGUAUCAUCGGUUAUCAUGGGAAGGCGAAGUCAUGAUUGUACACAUUCAUCAUCACAAUGAAGAUUUCGCCCUUUAACAUUACACUGGUUUUUACAAAUAUAUUUCUAUUAAACGGUUUUCUCCAUAACGAAGUUAUAAUUGGGAAUAUUUACUUAUAUAAAAUGGAAACAUUUGGUUGUGAAAAUGGGACGUUGCACAAUACCAAUACACAAAAAAAACAAACUAAAUAUACAAAACAUAUCCUAGAAGUUACGCAAGUACAAGAUCCUAGAAAUAAAAAACUAUAGACUGGUACAUACAACCUAGUCCUCUUUACCCGGUCUGUAACAUCCGAUUUCAUGUUCUAAUUCUUUUAUCCCUUAUUUUGUGAUUUUUGAUAAAUAUGGACCCUCAUACAUUAAGCGUACGUUUGGGUAUGCUUAGCAUACAAGAUUGCUUUGAUCGCGGAAGGUUAACCACGUACGUUGGGUGCACAUGGUGUACGCGUGGCGUACGUCUGUCUGGGUCAAACCCUAAUUUUUAGGGAUUCCACCCUAUUUAAACAUCAUAAUGGCCUUUGGACACUUACCCUUAUCAUCCCCCACUAUUUAUUACGUCCCAUUGAAACCCUAGUUCAUCCUUUGAGUGUUAUUGAGCACCAGAAGUGAUUUUAUGGCAUUUUGGGUGUAUUCAAGAAGAAGGAACUUGGAGAUCAAGCAUUUGUUAAGGUUGAGCUUCUAGAUCUAGAGUCUUCAUCAACAUUGAGAGAUUUCGAUGGUAUAAAGUUCUUACCUUGAUGAUUCAUUUGAUAGUUAGAGUUUAGGGCUUGUUUAUGAGAUUUAUUUUGGUCCCUUAAGUUCUCUUUGUGAGUUUAGGCAACUCCAGGAGUUAGAUGUGUUAGAUCUCAUUCCCUUUGGUGGUAUAGAUGCAUAAAAAUAUCAUCUUGAUAGUUGAUACGAGUCCAUGCAUGAAUUUGAGUGCUUAAUAUGAGGAUUGAUGGAUAAAAAUGGUUGUUGGAUUCCAUUAAGACAUGCUAAGGGUUAAAGUUGCCAACUUUAUGUAUUAGAACCCUAAAAUGGACGAGAUCUGAAAAUUGGACCUUAUGACUGAACAUAUUAAGCACUUAUUGGCUUAAGGAGGCAAGCAGCUUUAACGCCCAUAGAUCAGGGCUAGUCAAUUUAGAGACGAUAAGCGUCAAAAAUGAAUUUUUGAUAAAAGAUUAUUUAGGAUGAAUAAUCUUAACUAAGUUGUAGUAUAUGUUACAAGGAUUCUGUACAUAUAAAGAACGCCGAAAUCCGAGUAUAACGAAGAAGUUAUGACCUGUCGAAGUUUCGCGACAGAACCGGCACGACACAGCGCGACGUAAAUAGUGAAUUUACGUUAGAAUGAUAUUUCGCCUUAGUGAUCUAAACGAAAGUCGUAGAGUUCGUUAAACCGAGAGCGUGCAUAAAAAAAUGCCCAAAUCUGACUUCGUAUGAGGAAGUUAUGAUUUUUCGAAGUUUCAGCAUUAGCAGUAUGCAGCCCGAAAUCCGAAUAUUAGAUCAAGCGGUUUUUAGCCGACACAACCUAAAAGAGAAUCGAAAAUCUCGUUAAUAGUAGCGUAACGAAAAAAAAGACAGACGAAAACGGAGUUCAGAUGAAGGAGUUAUUAAUUUUGAACAGAGUUUUCCUGUCCCGGCUUACUAAAAAUAAUAUAUUAAUAAUAUAUUAAAAUUAGAGUCAAAUUAGUUGACGAAGUCUAAAUGAAAGUUGUAGAUCUUGUUUUUACCUAUGCGUGUAUAUGAAGAACGUCAAAAACGGAGUUUGUAUGCGAAUUUUAUUAAUUUCUGAAGUUCGGGGCGCGAAACCCCAAAACUGUCAGAACUCACGAGGUGAGCAUUAGUGACUCACGAAGUGAACAAAUGAUGGACGUCUACCAGGGAUGUGGCCAUGAUGAACGCAAUGAUGUAUCGAGCUCACGAGGUGAAUAUUAGAAACUCACGAGGUGAGCUAGCUCACGAGGUGAAGAUUAGAAAUUCACGAGGUGAACCCAGAAAAUUCACCCUAUAAAUAGAAUUCAAGGGGCAGCCGAGUUGGGUUGCUCAUCUCUUACUCUCCCACUCCCGAUACUCUCUCUAAGCCCUAUUUUAACCCACCGAAGCCCCGGUAUCAUCCCGAGACCCAAAGAUCCCAAGAAGAAAGAUUCCCGAACCGAAGCUCUGCCCGCGUGAAGCCCGGUUUUGGAGGAAAACAUCUCGGUUUCGUCGCAAAAGAUUAUUUUAAGAGACGAGGCGCUGCCCGAUCAUCUUCUAAUCAAGUGAGUGUGUGGUCACUUUCUUCUAACACAUAAAUAUUAAGUAUUUGCUAUGAAAUACGUGCUAUGUGUAUAAUAUAUUGUUGUUUAUUUGAGAUGAUUGUGGAAUGGAUGAAUUAUAUAAGUUUUAAUGAGUUAAACUAUAUAUGUAUUUUGUAUCUAAAAAUAUGUUGGGUAGAACAUGAGUAGAUGAGGUUGUUGGUAGGUGAUAAAAGGUGAUAAAAGGUGGGUUGGACCAUGAGAUAAAAGGAUAAAGAGAUAAAUUUGUUUUAGAUCCGAGAGUAUGGAUCAGAGCAAGAGGUUAGUUUUAGAUCCAAGGGUAUGGAUCAGAUCAAGAGGUUAGUUUUAGAUCCGGGAAUAUGGAUUAGGUAAUGAGGCAAAUUUAAGAUCUAGGAGUACGGAUUAUGUAUUUUAGAACUACGUAUUCAUUCGAUAAGGUAUCAUGUGUAUAGUCCCUUUUAGGAAUCGUGAUUUUAAAUACGAGUAUUGAUUAUAAUAUGAAAUAUACAUAUGUAUGUGAAGUAUUUGUCAUUGUUCGAAAUACGUGUUAGAUAUAUUUGAUAAUAUACAACGUGCGAAUCAGAUAUGGUUCAAUAUGUGUUAAGAUGUGUAUAUAUGAUACUAUUACUUAAAACCUUGUGUUAAGUAUACACUAGUUAGCAUUUCCUAAAUGGAGAUAGUAUCAAAAAUUGAUUAUAAACAUUGUAGGUUUGCCUAGUGAUGGGUUAAGACUUAAAUGGGAUGUUUAGUUCAAUUAAGAUUGGAAUUUGGGUAGUCUCUUAUUAAGAGUACUUGUGGGGUGAGAUUAAUGAUCGGUGGAGUACGUCCUACGUACAGAAGUACAUUUUAUGUACGAAGUAUUUUUCAAAGCUCUGUGUCUUGGGUGCAGCUUGUGCCAAGGUACUAUUAUGUUCUCGGGUACGAUUCUUUCGCAUACCAAAGUACUAUAAUGUGCCAGAAGUACUAUCUUAUACAAAGUCUUUUUGACAAUUUUAUAUGUCAGUUACGGGAGCGUACAAGAGUACUCUAGUAGUAUUUCCCCAUACCUUUAUUUUGAGAGAGCUUUGGAUUCAGCGUUUUUUUUUAUGAAGUGAUCGACCGAGCUUCAUAUGUCAGCGUUUUCUUUCACGAAGUAAUUAAGGGAACUUCGUAGACUACCUAAUAAAGUGUGUCGGUAAUAGACCACUGCUAGGUAUAUCUGGUGUUAUAUUGUUGGAUAGGGUGUGUCUGGGGGUGAAAUACCUCAUGUAAUCAGGCCACUGCUAGGCAAAGUUCGAUGCUGGGAUAGGUAGAGUCUGGGGGUAUAAUACCUCAUGAUAGUCGGACCACGCCUAGGCAUUGUUAUCUAGAUAACUACCCCUGACUUAAAAUGUCUUGUGGUUCUUUCUUUUAGGAACAAAGGUUCGUGGUGAAACUUAUUCCAUUCCCCUCAUUUGAUGUCUUUAUUGAUCCUUGUUUGCUGCUAGGGAAUUUCUGAAGCAGCUUUUUCAGUUGUUGUUCAUAUCGAUUUCCUUAGGCUAGAUCUCGUAAGAUCAUUAUAUAGGGUCAGUAUGCAGGGAUCGAUGGGAUGGAUAGAUCGUUUUAGAAAUAUGGUAUAUAUGUGUUAAUAAUAUUAGUGGUUUUGCAGGAUCGAGAUAUACAUUAUUAUCAUCAUUGUUUGAACUAAGAGCUCUCGUACUCUGUGUUCCUUAGGUGAUUGGGUUCACCAGGGAUAUUUGAACUAAGAGUUCAUUAGGUGUUUUUGAACUAGGUGUUCAUUAAUUAUUGUGAACUGCGAGUUCACCAUAGGUAAUCUAAGAACCUUUGCAUCACUAAAAUUUGUGCCAAUUCCUUAGGGCAAUCCUUAGGAAUGAAUGGGAGAAGGGUAAUCAGUUCUUAGGGUAAAUCUUUAUGAAAUAAAGGAAGAUAAUGGGGGUGGGUAAUUGGAUCGAUUGUUUAAAAAUUAAAUAUAAUAAUUAUAUUAUUGUGGGUUGAAAACCCUAUAUGCUCACCAAGCUCUCAAGCCUGACCCUCUCAGUUUUCUUUAAAUUACAGGUUAUGGAACGAGAGCAUAAGUUGGCUGACAUAACGAGAGAUUUUGGAUUAUAGGCCAGUAGUUAUGAAUAACUGUUGUAAGGUCUAUUUUGUUCUAUUUAUGCUUUUGGUCUGUAUUGAACAUGACAUCCCAAGUUUUUGUUAUAUAAUGAAAACACAUUUAUUUAAAGAAAUGUUUUGAUAAAUUCUUAUCAUAUUUUGUUUUGGGAACAAAUUCCGCAAUUGUUUUCUUUAAAAAGAUUACUCUGAUUUUAAAAACAAAGCAUAAACAAAUCGGUCUUUUCUGGCCGUGAAAUUGGGGAUGUCACAGCAGCUCAGUACAUUGGGCAUACCAAGUGGUACGUUGCAUGUAUUGGCGGUCGAAGUACACCAAUCGUACACUACAUACGCAUAGUAUACGCCUCGUUGUGGGCUUCUGGACUUCAGUUGGGCUUUGGACCUCUGAGCCUUAGCUAGGUUUUGGCCUUGGACUAUUAAAGCUUGAGUGGGACUCACAAUUUAUUAGUGGACCUUCACUUGCAUGAUUUAGGCCUUUUGGGGCCUUGAAGCCCAUUAUUGUAUUAUUGGGCCAAGUUUAGUUAGGCCCAUUGGGCAUUUAUCUUAGGAUUCUAGAUUUGGUAUUUAGACCCAUGGUUAUGGUUUAUAACUUAUUACAGAUUCGGGUGAUUUGUUUGUUUUUAGUGUGGGAUAUUCCGGUUUGUUAGUCGAGCAUUUAGUUUUUUAUCAGUAGACUGAGGUGAGUUUUCUGACUGAAUCAAUGGGUCGAAGGCACCAAGGUCGAACCAUUAUUUGUGAUAUAGGGUACUAGCUAUAUUUGUGAUAUGUUUAUGAAAGACCAGGAUUUGGCCCCUGGCAACUGUAUGCAAGACCGGGAUGUGGCCCUUAGCAGGAAAUUACUUCUAAGACUAUUGUUUGGCCCAUAACAUUAACCUAUAUAUUUUGAUAUGUGAUACUUUGGGGGAACUCACUAAGCUUUCUCUUAUAGUUUAUAUUUGUUGUUUCAUGUACUUCUGGUAUUAAGGGGAAGGGACCGACAUGAUGGCACAACAUUCUCUCCUCACUAUUUUCUGCACCUUUUGAUAUUGUACUCUGAUUAUUUGACACCGUUAUUAUGUGAUGGUUUUAGAAUAAUGUGAUCAUUGUAACUCUUGUUUUAAAAUGACAAAUUUUAUCCUGGUUUUUGGGUUGUUACAAGUUGGUAUCAGAGCCUUGGUUCGAGGAAUUCGAGGACACUUUUAGGUGUGUCAGAACUCAACUUGAGGAAAUGAUAAUAUUUUCAAAAGAAAAAGAAUUUGAAUUUUUGAAAAAUAUUCUUUUAGAAAAAUGGGGAGUCCAAUGCGUGCAAUCAACCGAGGUCAAGUAAGUGUUUCCCAAGUUACCCAUACUUAUGUAUUGUGAUUAGUAUGCUUGAUAUGUUAACUGCAUGCUAGAUUAGGGCUAAGGAUACCUUCAGGAAUCAUAUGAUAUAACUACCUAAUUUGUGUGAUGCUUUAUAGAUCAAUGAACUUGAUGCCAUGUAUUACUUGGAAUUGAUACUGGUUGAGUUAUUUGCUAUGUGUAUGCUUUCAAAGUUGUAUAUGAUUAGAAUUGUAUAGCCCUAGAAAGAUCGAUUUAGCCUCAUUUCAUGUUCCUUUUUUGGUUGUGGACUUAUGGUAGAAUCGUCAUUCGACAGUCUAUGUGAUCCUAUAUUUUGUACAACUUACAUGCAUAGGGCAACCAACGGUGUCGAUUGAGGUUCUUGGUACUGCUAGUGGUGAGGGUUGAGAGUUCCUAGAAGAGUCUAGGAUAUGUAUGUUGUGUAGAAUAGGUUUGCUCUUGGCUGUAGUGUGGUAACUUAGAGGAAUCAGAAUUUACCUUGAGGACGGUAUAGGUAGGUGUUGAAGCUAGUAUUGGGCCCAUACUACUGGAAGCACACGACCUGUACUCGAGACAAGUGUAGAUCUGGGUUUCUAAGGGAACUUUUGUGUUGCGAUUUUCCCUCGUGUGUUUUCUGAUUGUUUAUAUCUUGUGUUUCAUUUUGAGGAUGGUGGUCACUCGUUUAAGAUUGGGAGGCACUAGUUUUAGCUCGGGAUCGGGUUCAGGCUAUGGUUCUGGCUCAAAACUGAUUGGUGAGAGGUUGCGUGAGCUUAUUGUAGUCGAGGUUACUAGUGGUAUUCUUGACACUACCCCCGUGAUUUUUGGUACCGUCAAGGAGGGUAUUUUGGAGCUCAUGGAGGAGUGGCUCAGGUCAUUUCGAGCCGAGAUUAUUGCGGAUCAGAUUGGGACUCGAGCUCCCUCAUUCCAGGAGUUUAAGGCGUGUGGAGCGCCUGAGUUCUUUAGAGUUAAGGACCCUAUUGCUAGCCGUCACUAGAUCGCUCACAUGGAGAAUCCUCUGUUGGAUUAAUGUCUAAGUCCAUAACUAGAAUUGGUAAGACUUGACCUGACCCGACAUGGUCCAUUUGGGUUGCAUGGCAUCAUGCAUUUGGAUAGACUAUAAUGAGAGAAAUAACACUUAAGGUUGGUUAAUAUAUUAUAAGUUCUAAUAUAUUAAUAAGAUUAUUUAAUUAGUAUUGAUCAAGAAUUAAUCUAGGAUUAAUUAAGUGAUCAAAAGAAGACUAAUUAAAUAUAUGGGUUGAUUGUGUAAAUCAUCCAUACUUAUAUAGUGGGCUAAUGCUCCAUGGAUUAUCUAGGUGGGAUAAAACCCAUAUGAUGCUUCAUGGAUGCUCCAUGGUGUUUUUGUACCCAUGGAUCAUGGAAAUGAAAGGCCAUGUCAAUUAGGGUUUACAUGGUGUAACCCUAACUAUAUAUGCAUCUUAUUCUUGACCAAAAUUGGCACUAGUAUCAUUCUAGAGAAGGGCUAGCUGAUUUCAAGUGUUCUACAUUUCUCUCAAGGUUAUUCUAAAAGCAAUUGAUGUUGUGUGAACCAUUUGAGGUGUCACACUUGGGGCACUAGGCACUCAAGCUUCAUGAAGACUUUCUACAUCUAAGAGGUAUGUAAUUCUAACUUGAUAUAUUCAUUUGAAUCAAUGUUAUUAUGCUAGUUAGGAUGAAUACCUUGNNNNNNNNNNNNNNNNNNNNNNNNNNNNNNNNNNNNNNNNNNNNNNNNNNNNNNNNNNNNNNNNNNNNNNNNNNNNNNNNNNNNNNNNNNNNNNNNNNNNNNNNNNNNNNNNNNNNNNNNNNNNNNNNNNNNNNNNNNNNNNNNNNNNNNNNNNNNNNNNNNNNNNNNNNNNNNNNNNNNNNNNNNNNNNNNNNNNNNNNNNNNNNNNNNNNNNNNNNNNNNNNNNNNNNNNNNNNNNNNNNNNNNNNNNNNNNNNNNNNNNNNNNNNNNNNNNNNNNNNNNNNNNNNNNNNNNNNNNNNNNNNNNNNNNNNNNNNNNNNNNNNNNNNNNNNNNNNNNNNNNNNNNNNNNNNNNNNNNNNNNNNNNNNNNNNNNNNNNNNNNNNNNNNNNNNNNNNNNNNNNNNNNNNNNNNNNNNNNNNNNNNNNNNNNNNNNNNNNNNNNNNNNNNNNNNNNNNNNNNNNNNNNNNNNNNNNNNNNNNNNNNNNNNNNNNNNNNNNNNNNNNNNNNNNNNNNNNNNNNNNNNNNNNNNNNNNNNNNNNNNNNNNNNNNNNNNNNNNNNNNNNNNNNNNNNNNNNNNNNNNNNNNNNNNNNNNNNNNNNNNNNNNNNNNNNNNNNNNNNNNNNNNNNNNNNNNNNNNNNNNNNNNNNNNNNNNNNNNNNNNNNNNNNNNNNNNNNNNNNNNNNNNNNNNNNNNNNNNNNNNNNNNNNNNNNNNNNNACUUGUCCUCAAGUUAUGGAAGUUCAAGAGUCACUUCAUUAAGUAAUAAAAUGUGUAACCUAAUUAAUUACAUAAGUUACAAAAUAAAGAGUCACUUCAUUAAUUACAUAACCUAAUUAAAGUCUUCCAUAACUUGUCCUCAAGUUAUGGAACUUGAAGAGUUUUUUAAUUAAAACUACUUUAAACACAUAAGUUAUGGAAUUAAUUAGUUUUGAAUAGUUUUCAAAACUUGCCCUCAAGUUUUGGAAUUUGAAAAGUUUUCACUUAUGAAUACUUUAAUUCCAAGUUAGCCCUUAGAAUUUUAAAAGUUAAAAUUCAACCCUUAUACUUUAUAAUAUUAUAAGUUAAUAAUAUAUAUAUNNNNNNNNNNNNNNNNNNNNNNNNNNNNNNNNNNNNNNNNNNNNNNNNNNNNNNNNNNNNNNNNNNNNNNNNNNNNNNNNNNNNNNNNNNNNNNNAAGUCAGUCUUACCGUUAGUAGGCCUCAUUCACGAAGCCGGUCUAUAAGGGGGUAUAAGGUUACUGCCUAUAAAAUGGCAGUUUAAUGGGUGUCCACUCUCACCCACCGCUUCCUUGACUGGUGGAGGGUCGUUAGCUGAACGGGUAGGACAAGGACUUUAAUUCUCCUUUCAUUAAAAGUAUUAAUGAUAAAUACUAAGUAACCAAAUCUUUUAAAGAUACCCAAUCUUAGUUACUUAGGAAAAAGUUAAUAAGGUGCUAAUCCAUGAAAUUACACUUUUCACUUUGUUUAAGUCGUUAGUGGAGCGUGUGUGGUUAACCGACACACUAACCUGGACUUACCAAGGUAAGCAAAUGGUAACUUAAUAUUUAUCAUAGUAUCGGUGGAGCGUGUUUGGUUAACCGGCACAUCGAUUAAGAGGUAAAUAUUAAGGGUACCCAGUAUAUUUGCAUAGUUACUUCACACCUUGUUUUGUGAUCCUCGGCAUCCCAGUCACAAAACCUGAAGGGCACACUCGAGAUUGAAACAUGCCAUUGAAAAGUUUAAUGAAUCUCAAAAGAUCUAGGAGUUUCAAAUCCAAUUAAAACCAAAUAAUACAUUUCGUUUAUCUUGGUGGAAAUUGGUGAAUCGCCAUUCACCUACCUUCAAAUAUUCUAUAGCUUGGAUUACGACAUCCCUCUUCCAAGUUAUAAAAUAGUUUGUAGGGUCCUAGCCUUAAUAUUUCAUAUUGGGUGUUAUAUUAAGGACUUUAAAUCAACUAUCUUGAAUAUCUCCCAAAAGAUGUCUGGUUUAGACAUCUAUGAUCUUCUCAAAUCUCUUGAAAUAAGUUUUCCUAAAUGAAGAUGAUAUCCCAUGGAAAUCAUACUUCUUUCACCUCCUCCAAUUAUUCUCCCUAACCCAAAAGUUCUUGAAAAGUUUAAGGUCACUCAAGCCCUAUUGGCAAGCAAAGGUCUAUGUGUGAUCACAUCUUGGAGAUGUAGUCACAUAUUGACAAGCCGGGAGAGUUGGGUGUCAAAUUCUUGAGAAAGUUGGUGGUUCAAUCACUUUCUAAGUCACAUAGUGAGUUCCUUUGGGACUCCUAUGAAACAGACUAUGACAACACCCUUAUUGAUCUUAUCUAUUUGCUAAGAUCAACUUCCAAAAACUUGUGGACAUUGAAAAUAAUGACAUUGGAUAUCCAGUAAAGCUCUCUCUUCCCAAUGGAAAGGGAUCGGGCAUAGUCAACUCGGUUGACCAAAUGGUAAAGAGAGAGGCUAAGUCUAAGAUAGUCCCAUUAUCAAGGGUCCAUUGCCAAAGGAAGGGGAAUUAGUUGCGAAGCUGCCAAAUCUUACCUAAGGAUGUUAAAGUCAAUAAGUUUGACUCUACUUCAGGUAAAAUCCACUAUAAGUUUCUAUUCUGAGAUUCUUGAUCCAUGAUGUGACUGGGUCACAUGUUGAUGUUUUAAGAAUCAAAGAAAAGUGAAGGUACUUAAAGAAAGAAUAUGUUGAAUCUGAUCGCGUAGAUGGAUAUCUAUCGCAUAGUUUGAAGAUCGGAUUCUUGAGCUACUUCUUAAGAGUUAUGAUACAUUCCUUAGGAAUAGAUAACAACAAAGUUUUCAUGUGCUUUUCCAAGGAUAGUUUUUCCGCAAAGUUUUUAAAAUAAAAGGAAAAAUAUUUUGAUUUUAUUUAUUUUAAAAUAUCCUUACAAUGGCAUUUGUGAAAACAUUUUGUUGCUUAUAAAGAUUCCAUUAAGAGCAAGAGUGGAAAUAUGAAUUUGAUUCUUUCAUUUGUGGUAGUGUCUAAAUUUACCAAAUAAGGAAAGAUUCUCAUCACCCAAGUUUUAGUUGGAUAGAAACUUGGAAUCAUGCAAGUUGUAUAAUAUGAUGGAUGAGAACUUUCAAGCAUUGGCAAAAUUAAGACUAACUACUUGUUCACAUGGAUGUGUGAGUCAAGUAAAAGGACUAAGGGAUCGAGUACACAUUCUUGUGCACUGGUCUAGUCCACCACAAAAGAUCGAUAAGAUUAUUUAUCAUAAUUUACUAAAGUUCAGUAAAUAUGAUUAUACUUACAAGCUUAAGUGUAAUUCUGAGACAUUGGAAAAAGGUUCCAAUGUAUGACAAAGCGAAUAAGAAGAAUCAACUUAGGCAGAAGGAUAAAAGUUUCUCAAAUCUGAAAAGACGAGAGAGUACUUUAGUAUCAGUUUUUGUGAUCAUCUUAAUGAUUAAGAAACCAUAGCUCAAUUAGUUCUCUAAGGAAAUCUUAGUGCAUUCAUAUGACUAAGAAGAGGAAUAUGGAAUUGUCGAAAUGGUUAAAUCAAGAAGAUGAGUCAUACUUCGUUCCAAUACAAGUCUUAGAGUCAUACUCCAAGAUUGUAACUUCAGUGACAUGUCUUAGAGAAGGUAUAAAACACAUGUCAAAUGUAAGAGUAAAAGUUUUCUACUCUUGUACAUUUGAAAUUGGUAAGUUGUGAUGUUUUGGAUAAAACAAAGACCAACUAAGGCCAAUUGUGUGAAGUGUUUGUCUUGAUUAGAAUCCGCACUAUCUCUUGGAUGUUUGACAAGGGAGUCUUAUAUGUCAAGAGGACAGUGGGAGUCUUAAAGGUCUUGAAAGUCUCAAGAACUAAUCAAGAAUAAAACCUGAAGUUCUUCACUAGCACACGACUUGAGGUUUAUAACCUAUCGUGUUGACAUAUUCUAUGCCCAUUCCAAUUAAAGUUGGCUUUGCAUAUGAGUUCUUAGAGUUCUCAAUUGGUUGCACAACAACUUGGAAGCAAUGGCAGGCCCUUGAGCUGCCAGGUGGCAAGAAGUUAAGAUUGAUUUCAAUCCAUAUGAGUGUGGAUUUGUCAUUAUCCUUGUCUUGUGUCUAUGGUUUUGACAAUUCACAUGGAUAAGAACACAUACACCAUUAAAUCUAAGUGUCAUAAGGUUUCUCUCCGAUUCAUGAAAAUGAUGGUGAGGAAACACUUUCACUAAGUAGAUUUUAGCUAGAUAGCAAUUGUGAUAUUUGCAUUCUCAAAGUCGUUAGUGGAGCGUGUGUGGUUUACCGGCACACUAACCUGGACUUGUGAGAAGUGGCAAAAAGGUCUAACCAUUAUGAUUACGGCAUCCCUCUUCAUAAUUGUUUAGACACACAAGUGUGCUAUCUAAGGGAAGGUGUAUGAUUUUGAUAAAGUUUUAUCAAAACAAUCUAGUAUCAGAAAUCUGAACUUUGGUAAGAAAGUCAGCUGAUUUCUGAGUACAUGUCAAAGCUAGUGGGAGCAUAAGUGUUAUGCUAAUAAUCAUCAUGUUAGUGGGAGCAUGAUAAUUAUGAUAAGUAUUGCAAGUUAGCAAUGUUAAUUAUAGAAAACAAAAGUUUCAAUUGGGAAAAAGUUGUUUUGCUAUAAUUAAGGGAGAGGAAAUUAUGCUUCAUCUCAAAUCUAUAAGCUUAGAUCGUGAGGUUUUAAUCAUUUAGUCAAGGAUAUAUAUGAAUUUCAUGUUGGAAUGGCUCAACAUAAGGAAAUUCUGUAUAUGGGUCCAUUAUUUGCGUUCUAAAAUUCGAUUAUGAUUACGGCAUCCCUUUUCAUAAUCUGAAUUAUGAGAACUUGGCAAAUUGAAAUGGAAAUAUUAUAGCAAAAGACUGGUUUAGUCUUUAUGUGAGACAUCAUGAAUCGUGUCCCAUAUGCUUCGGAUAUAGGAUCGAUUACAUGUGCUAUAUUCAUCCUUUCUAAAAUUUCUUAAAUGUCUGGGCAUUAAGAAGGGAAAACGUCUAGAAUUGGAUAUGACUAAAAGGAAUUAAACAAUUGUCGAGGACAAUCUAAGGUUUACCAAAGAUUGGUUGCUCAAGGACAAUUGGAAGUAUAGUGAUAAUUCUGGAAGGACCAUAUUGACAUAAUCUGUAAGGAGGCAACUCUUGUUCAGAAGUGAUAGUCAAAAUGGAAUCUGGAAAUGUUUCAAAGUUAGAAUUUUCAAUCUGUGUAAGAUUAAGGAAACUUAAUGCAAGAAGGAUAUUUCCAAGGAGUUGAUCUCCUUUGGAAUACUCUGUAAUGAUUGUUGCCAAGUCUUUGUGACUUUGUGCAUAAUCGUUACAAGAGGAUCAAUGCAUAUAAGUUUAGAAUCUAACAGAUUUCUGUAAAUGGCAUGAAUUUGGAAUUCUUGCAUUUGCAGUAAGGAUUUGGGAGUGUGAAAAGAGAAUCAUUGAAGUUAUGUUCAAUUGAUCUAGUUCACAAAGUAAGGAUCAUAGACAAACAUAGUAUGCAUACUUGGUGUGUGGCAUGACUAGUGUUUUAGAAAACAUAGUGUACAUGCUUGGAGCAUGGGACAACUAUUGUUUUAAAUUCAAGAAUAAAGUUGAUAGCUGAAACAGUAUACAAUGAAUAAUGUGUAAUCAUAUGGUGAUAAAUAAAAGGUGUUUUAUUUAUAUUCAUAAGUUCUAAGACCAUAUGGGAUUCAAUUAUUAUUGUGUUUCAUUUUGCAUGUAUGACUUCCCGAAUAAACUGGGUUAUUCUUCCGGAAUGACUAAGUUAUUCAAANUUGAUACCAUAUUGGAUUCAAUUAUUAUUGUGUUUCACUUUGCAUGUUUUGACUUCCCGAAUAAACUGGGUUAUUCUUCCGGAAUGACUAAGUUAUUCAAACCAUCCACAGUCGGUCAUAUGUUGGAAGUAGAUAUGAAUUAAGACUGUCAUGGGUUGGCUUGUAGAGGUCUAAGGUGUUGGACAAAGGGCUACAACACUCAUGAGUGCUCAUAAGUUCUGAGUAUUGGAUUCAACCCGCGCUCAUUGGAAUCACUUCAUGGAUUUUAUCACGAGUGAUCAUGAGACGAUAAUAUCUUAUAUUCUUCAAACCUAGAGAUAUGAGUUGUUACUAUGAGUUGGUUGUACAUUGAUUGCACGAAAACGCAUUCGGUAACUCGGUGUUAUAAAACGUGCCUUUGUGUAUGAUUCAACAAGUAGUAGAACAAGCCAUAUGAGUCGAAGUUUAUCCAUUCCUUUUACCUUCGGGAUAAAAGCGAUAUCUGUGGGCCCCUCGAUGAUUUGAUGAUGACAAAUGGAAGUGCUCGGCCGGGCCAGGACUGAUUUGAUUUGUUCAAUUAGUCAGUCGUCAUAAAUCGGAAAUCGGGAAACAACAAAUGGACAGAGAGAAUGAUUAUAAUCCAUGUCUCAGUCCAUAUGAUAUCUAGAAUGGAGGAAUAUAUGAUCCCUUAUCUAGUGGACAAGUCAUUGACAAAGGUCAGAGUUCAUCUACAAGGUCAGAGUUCGACAGAAGCUUUUGAGAGCUACGAUUGCCAGUCGGUUCUUGAAGUCAUACGCAAUAAUAUUUUUAGACUUAUCCAAGUGGGAGACUAUUGGAUUAAUGUCUAAGUCCAUAACUAUAAUCAGUAAGACUUGACCCGACCUGUCAUGGUCCAUUUAGGUUGCAUGGCAUCAUGCAUUUAGAUAGACUAUAAUGAGAGAAAUAACACUUAAGGUUGGUUAAUAUAUUAUAAGUUCUAAUAUAUUAAUAAGAUUAUUUAAUUAGUAUUGAUCAAGAAUUAAUCUAGGAUUAAUUAAGUGAUCAAAAGAAGACUAAUUAAAUAAAUGGGUUGAUUGUGUAAAUC